ACAAGAAGGAAAAACAAAGACCUCUCUUACCUUCUCCAACCAUGAACACCAGCCAAGAAACAAGAGAAACUCCAGCUCAUUUAACCAAGGAAUCGAGAGAGGGAAACAAAAGAAAACCAGAAAUCUUGUUCCAGUCUAAACCGUGAAGAGACAAUAGAGUUGAACUCCACACAAGGAGUAAUACCUGACCGUGAUCCGUAAAGGCACUACAUCUUUGAUCGGGGAUGGAUUUGAUCAAGAGCUUUCUUAGCU